CCUACGGGUGGCAGCAGUCGAGAAUCAUUCACAAUGGGGGAAACCCUGAUGGUGCGACGCCGCGUGGGGGAAUGAAGGUCUUCGGAUUGUAAACCCCUGUCAUGUGGGAGCAAAUUAAAAAGAUAGUACCACAAGAGGAAGAGACGGCUAACUCUGUGCCAGCAGCCGCGGUAAUACAGAGGUGUCAAGCGUUGUGCGGAAUCACUGGGCGUAAGGCGUGCGUAGGCUGUUUCGUAAGUCGUGUGUGAAAGGCGCGGGCUCAACCCGCGGACGGCACAGGAUACUACGAGACUAGAGUAAUAGAGGGGGAACCGGAAGUCUCGGUGAAGCAGUGAAAUGCGUAGAUAUCGAGAGGAACACUCGUGGCGAAGGCGGGUUCCUGGACAUUAACUGACGCUGAGGCACGAAGGCCAGGGGAGCGAAAAGGAUUAGAUACCCCUGUAGUC
rnacentral:rRNA from 1 species